rfam:Picea glauca, whole genome shotgun sequence.
AUGUACAUUCCUACAAAUUAGUGUUAAUGCACUGGAUCCCAUUAGAAAUUCGCAGUUAAGCGCGCUUGGUCUAGAGUAGUACUGCGAUGGGUGAUUGCCUGAGAAGUCCUAGUAUUUUACAUG